UUGGAUCUGAGCUCUGCCCUCUUGGUGUGAGCCAUGAUGGGGUGACAGAUCUUGCUGGGGCUCCGUUUUAUCACAGUGGAGGGGAAGGAGGAAGAGUUUACGUCUAUUGCCUGGAGACAAGAGACACCUUGAAAGGACACUUCCACGUGCAGGUGACCUCUCCAUUUGCAAGGUUUGGGUGUGCAGUGGCCAGGAUCAGAGACAUCAGUGGGACUGGAUGUGAGGAUGUCAUAGAUGGAGCCCCCCUUGAAGAUCCACGUUCAAACAGCCCCUCUUUUGGCAGCACUUACCUAUUUAAAGUGUUUUGCUGAGCUCUAGAAGAAGAAUUAUAUCAUAGAGUUUGCUGUUCCUGUGCUGGAUAAAUACAAGCCAUCAGAGAUGCUU